CGGGCUGUAGAGGUUUACGCUUGCAUGGGGUGCUAGGGGUCGAGUGUUCGAAUCACUCCGUCCCGACCA
rnacentral:tRNA from 1 species